GUACAGGGCCCAUUGGGUACUGUGAUUGGAAUGAAUACAAUUUAAAAACCUUAAUGAGGAACGAUUGGAGGGCAAGUCUGGUGCCAGCAGCCGCGGUAAUUCCAGCUCCAAUAGUGUAUAUUAAAGUUGCUGCAGUUAAAAAGCUCGUAGUUGGAUUUCGGAUUAAUGGGAGUUAAGGUCCAUCAAUUUGAUGUGUACCUUAUUCUCGUUUCCUUCCUUUUGAAUACACUCCCUGAAAUUUUUUUUUGGGGAUCAAAGUGUUUCAAAUCUUUUACUGUGAAGAAAUUAGAGUGUUCAAAGCAGGCGUAAUCUAGCCUUUGAAUAUAUUAGCAUGGGAUAAUGAAAUAGGACUUUAGUUCUACUUUCGUUGGUUUCUAGGGCUAAAGUAAUGAUUAAUAGGGAUAGUUGGGGUCACUAGUAUUUAAUUGUCAGAGGUGAAAUUCUAAGAUUUAUUAAAGACUAACUACUGCGAAAGCAUUUGACAAGGAUGUUUUCAUUAAUCAAGAACGAAAGUUGGGGGAUCGAAGAUGAUCAGAUACCGUCGUAGUCUCAACCAUAAACUAUGCCGACCAAGGAUCCGGGGGUGUUAAAUAUGGAUGACUCUCCGGGCACUUAUAGAGAAAUCAUAAGUAUUUGGGCUCCGGGGGGAGUAUGGUCGCAAGGCUGAAACUUAAAGGAAUUGACGGAAGGGCACCACAAGGAGUGGAACCUGCGGUUUAAUUUGACCCAACACGGGGAAACUUACCAGGUCCAGACACAGUGAGGAUUGACAGAUUGAGAGUUCUUUCUUGAUUCUGUGAGUGGUGGUGCAUGGCCGUUUCUAGUUGGUGGAGUGAUUUGUCUGGUUAAUUCCGUUAACGAACGAGACCUUAACCUAUUAAAUAGUUGCUUGAACACAUGAAUAUUUUAUUCUUUGUUCGGUUAACUUCUUAGAGGGACUCUUCACUGAGAGAGUGAAUGGAAGUUUGAGGCAAAAACAGGUCUGUGAUGCCCUUAGAUGUUCUGGGCCACACGCGCGUUACACUGACAUAUUCAACGAGCAUUUUCCUGGCCCGAUGGGGUUGGGUAAUCUUUUAAAUGUAUGUCGUGCUGGGGAUAGAUCAUUGUAAUUAUUGGUCUUGAACGAGGAAUUCCUAGUAAGUGCAAGUCAUCAACUUGCGCUGAUUACGUCCCUGCCCUUUGUACACACCGCCCGUCGCUCCUACCGAUUGAAUGGUCCGGCGAGAACUCAAGAUGGAAAUAGGUUUUGGACACCGUCAGGUGCUCCAACUAUAUCCAGAAUUUGUUCAAACCUUACCAUUUAGAGGAAGGAGAAGUCGUAACAAGGUUUCCGUAGGUGAACCUGCGGAAG
rnacentral:rRNA from 1 species